AGUGAACGCUGGCGGUAGGCCUAACACAUGCAAGUCGAACGGCAGCACAGUAAGAGCUCGCUCUUACGGGUGGCGAGUGGCGGAUGGGUGAGGAAUACAUCGGAAUCUACUUUUUCGUGGGGGAUAACGUAGGGACACUUACGCUAAUACCGCAUACGACCUACGGGUGAAAGCAGGGGAUCUUCGGACCUUGCGUGAUUGAAUGAGCCGAUGUCGGAUUAGCUAGUUGGCGGGGUAAAGGCCCACCAAGGCGACGAUCCGUAGCUGGUCUGAGAGGAUGAUCAGCCACACUGGAACUGAGACACGGUCCAGACUCCUACGGGAGGCAGCAGUGGGGAAUAUUGGACAAUGGGCGCAAGCCUGAUCCAGCCAUACCGCGUGGGUGAAGAAGGCCUUCGGGUUGUAAAGCCCUUUUGUUGGGAAAGAAAAGCAGCAGGUUAAUACCCCGCUGUUCUGACGGUACCCAAAGAAUAAGCACCGGCUAACUUCGUG
rnacentral:rRNA from 1 species